AAUGCUUAAGACAGUGAUUCUCACCUCUCUGAAUCUAGAAUCUCUGUGGGAGCUUUAAUAAAUACUGCUACCUAGGCUUCAACCCACAGAGAUUCUGAUUAAGUUGGUUCUGAUUCUAUUGUGUUAGCAAAGUUCCCAUAUAGUUACAAAUCUACUUACUUUGUUGCUACCCAGUUCAGAAUCCCUGGGGAAUUCUCAAUCCAUGGUUGAGAGCCAUGACUUAAAAGAUUGUGGUCCAACUUCAAACUGAAGAAUGUAAGUCACUUUCCAAGAUACUUUUCAUGUCCUGCAUGAGAACUUAGAGUUUAGUGGAUUCAUGCAAACAACUUGGAGGCUCAACGCAGCAGUCUGAGCAAGAUGUGUGUGCUCUGCAUCCAUCAUGUGGUCUUUCAUGCUGACUUGGAGAGUGAAAGACUACAGGAUGCCCCCAUGAGUAUCCACAUAAGUACAACCCAAAUAUGGAAUGAAGGUUUGAACAAUGGAGGAUGGGAACUAGAGAAGAUUCCUUUCCCCAAAGAGACUGUCCUGAAAAGCAAUUGUAGGAAGGUCAUCUCUCAAUAUCAAACAGUCAUGCUCUAUAUGAAGUAGUGGCCAACUUCAUAACACAUCCUCAACAGGAUUGUACACUUCUAAAUAAAACUCAGUCCUGAAUAGUACUGCCUAGGUUUUCUUCUAGGGUUUUUAUAGUUUGGGGUUUGACAUUUAAG
rnacentral:lncRNA from 1 species